CCAAUCGAACCCGGAGAUAGCUGGUUCUCCUCGAAAUAGCUUUAGGGCUAGCCUCAUGGAUCAUUGAUGGGGGUAGAGCACUGAAUGUGCGCGGGGGCCACAAAGCCUACCAAACGCUAUCAAACUUCGAAUACCAUACAAUGCAGACCAUGGGAGUCAGUCCGCGAGAGAUAAGUUCCGCGGGCAAAAGGGGAACACCCCAGAUCAACCGCUAAGGUCCCCAAGUUCACGUUAAGUGGAGAAGGAUGUGGAAUUGCACAGACAACCAGGAUGUUGGCUCAGAAGCAGCCACACAUUUAAAGAGUGCGUAAUAGCUCACUGGUCGAGUGAUUGUGCGCCGAAGAUGUCCGGGGCUAAACGUGACACCGAAGCGAUGGGUGCAUCUGAAGAAGAUGCGCGGUAGAGGAGCAAUGUGCAGAGGCAGAAGCCGUAUCGAGAGGCACGGUGGACACUGCACAAGAGAGAAUGCCGGUAUGAGUAGCGAGAGGCAUGCGAGAAACAUGCCCGUCGAAAGCCCAAGGUUUCCUGGGGAAGGUUCAUCCGCCCAGGGUAAGUCGGGGCCUAAGCCGAGGACGGAAGUCGUAGGCGAUGGACAGCAGGUGUAGAUUCCUGCACUACCGAUGGAAUGAAGCAGUGACACAGAAGGAUAACUCGAGCAGGGUGAUGGUCAACCCUGUGCAAGCAUCAAGGUUGGGUUGUAGUGAAGUACGCAACCCUAUAAGCUGAGGUGUGAUGCGGACCGAAAUUUCAGUAGGGAAGCGAGUGAGUUCACGCUGGCGAGAAAAGCUGCUAGUAUAUCCAAAGGUACCCGUACCGGAAACCGACGCAGGUGGGCGAGGAGAGAAUCCUGAGACGAACGGGAGAACCCUUGUUAAGGAACUCGGCAAAAUGACCCCGUAACUUCGGGAUAAGGGGUGCCUGCGAGAGCAGGCCGCAGAGAAUAGUCACAAGCGACUGUUUAGCAAAAACACAGGUAUCUGCGAAAGCGAGAGCUGACGUAUAGGUGCUGACACCUGCCCGGUGCUGGAAGGUUAAGGGAACAUGUUAGAGCAAUCGAAGCAUCGAACCGAAGCCCCAGUAAACGGCGGCCGUAACUAUAACGGUCCUAAGGUAGCGAAAUUCCUUGUCGGGUAAGUUCCGACCCGCACGAAUGGUGUAACGACUUGUGAGCUGUCUCAACAGGGGGCCCGGUGAAAUUGAAGUAUGGGUGAAGAUGCCCAUUACCCGCGACUGGACGGAAAGACCCCGUAGAGCUUUACUGCAGCCUGAUAUUGAGUUUCGGUAACUGAUGCACAGGAUAGGUGGGAGUCUGAGAGACAUGGGUUUCGGCUCAUGUGGAGACGGUGUUGGGAUACCACUCUUCGGUUACUGAAAUUCUAACAUAGCUCUGUGAAACCAGAGGAUGGACAGUGUCAGGUGGACAGUUUGACUGGGGCGGUCGCCUCCGAAAGAGUAACGGAGGCGCCCAAAGGUACCCUCAGAAUGGAUGGAAACCAUUCGAAGAGCGCAAAGGCAGAAGGGUGCCUGACUGCGAGAUUGACAAAUCGAGCAGAGACGAAAGUCGGGCUUAGUGAUCCGGCGGUAUUGAGUGGAAAAGCCGUCGCUUAACGGAUAAAAGCUACCUCGGGGAUAACAGGCUGAUCUCCCCCAAGAGUCCACAUCGACGGGGAGGUUUGGCAC
rnacentral:rRNA from 1 species